UCCAGACUCCUACGGGAGGCAGCAGUCGGGAAUAUUGCGCAAUGGAGGAAACUCUGACGCAGUGACGCCGCGUGCAGGAAGAAGGUUUUCGGAUUGUAAACUGCUUUAGACAGGGAAGAAACAAGACAGUACCUGUAGAAUAAGCUCCGGCUAACUACGUGCCAGCAGCCGCGGUAAUACGUAGGGGGCAAGCGUUAUCCGGAUUCACUGGGUGUAAAGGGAGCGUAGACGGCGACGCAAGUCUGGAGUGAAAGCCCGGGGCCCAACCCCGGGACUGCUCUGGAAACUGCGGCGCUGGAGUACGGGAGGGGCAGGCGGAAUUCCUGGUGUAGCGGUGAAAUGCGUAGAUAUCAGGAGGAACACCGGUGGCGAAGGCGGCCUGCUGGACUGCAACUGACGUUGAGGCCCGAAAGCGUGGGGAGCAAACAGGAUUAGAUACCCCUGUAU
rnacentral:rRNA from 1 species